rnacentral:lncRNA from 1 species
UGUAAUCUACUUGAUCUCCCUUCCUUUUGGAAGCUAAUUUACAGCUCUUUUUUUCCCCCUUUUAGAAGGCCCCUGCACUUUCUUCUUUGUGGUUGAGCUAUAAUAUUUCUAGCUGAUGUUGGCCCUGAAGGCAUACAGAAUCACUUCGCGGCUUUUGGUCUUGGCUUCCUGGUUUAGAUUCUGAGAUAGUGUUGCUUGAUUGUUUUCAUAGAGGUAAUGACAUCAUGUGUUUUUCUUUCUAUUUUUGAAGGUGAAGGUAUUUGCGCCUAAUGUCGAGCAGAUGCUCAUCGUUAAUCACUUGAAAGGGAGCCCAACAGAAAGAAGAGAAAUGUGCUGGAGGAAAGUGCCAGGAGAGCCCGGAGGGACGUCCAAGACUUGGCAGACCUGAACUCGAGCAAGCUUGAUGCUGUCAUUCUACCUGCUUUCAAUGGAUCAAAAGUGAGAUUCGAUUCAAGGAGAGGGGACCCCAAAAGGGCAUCAAUACCAGGAGGCAUGGAUAUUGGAUAACUGUCUUUGGAGACAUGCUACACAUUAUGAAUAAAAUGUAAGUUUAAAUCUAUCUACAAAUCCCCAGAGAGAGAAAGGGCUAGGGAGAUUCAUUUUAUUUGAGUUGUGGGUGUUUUGAGAAUUCACUCUUUUCUUCUACUGCUAAUACGGUUAACCCGAGAGACGUUUGUAAGGGUUAUUGCUCCUGAAGUCUGGUGCUAAUAUUAGUGUUUUCACAUCUAAGGUAGUAUUACUAGCAAAUUAAUGUCAAAAUUACUGCUACUUAAAAAAUAUUUUAUUUUAGCACAUAAGGAUAGGUUUAUGUUUUUAAAAUGUAUGGAGUUAUCUCAAAAGCUUUUUAAUAGAUAUAGUUCUACUUCGUACCAAACUUGAAAUAUUUAGCAAAAAUUAGCAUCAUGAUAGGUGUCCCAGCUUGAAUCUUCAGAAUUUCAUACUGUUGAUGCAAAAUGAUUAUUUAUUAUUAUUAGGUUAAUAUAAGCCCUUUAUGUCUAUUGAGUCCACUUGCUAUAAGGCUACAUUGAAGCUAUGUAAUGUCUUUAAUGAUUUGAGUGUGUUUCAGAAUUUGUCAUCAGUUUUUUACAAAAAGAUCUCCAAGGUAUCUUGACGAUUAUAGGUUGUGAUACUGAGACAGAGUCUUUUUUUUUUGAGACAGACUCUCGCUGUGUCACCCAGGCUGGAGUGCAGUGGUGCAAUCUUGGCUCACUGCAACCUCUGCCUCCCGGUUUCAAGCAAUUCUCCUGCCUCAGCCUCCCGAGUAGGGCGCACGCCACCACACCCAGCUAAUUUUUGUAUUUUUAGUAGAGACGGGGUUUCACCAUAUUGGCCAGGCUGGUCUCAAACUUCUGUCCUCUUGAUCUGCCUGCCUUGGCCUCCCAAAGUGCUGGGAUUACAGGCAUGAGCUACCACGCCCAGCUGCGGUACUGACUUUUUAAAAAAAGUUAAUGGGAAAGAAAAAAACAAAGUUAAUGAAUUAAUUCAAAGUCACUAUCAAUUCUAGAAGACAUUAAAGAAAUACUAUUUUUACAUCCUAACCACGUGUGUUAUGUGUUGCUCUUCUAUACCCUCAUUCUUUGCCCAAGAUUUGUUCAUCCAUUCUUCUUGUCAGCUGCCUUAAAUAAUCCUGGGUCGUCGUCUUUGCUGGUGGCUUUGGAGUAGCUCAGAGCUGCCCUGGAUGGGAAAGACUGCUCUGUCGGCAGUUCUGUGAAGGACACUUCAAGCCUUCCCCUGUGGGAGGAAGCCCAUCGCUACUGCUGCUGCAUUUCCCCUGGCUUGGCAGCCGAAACCUUCCUGCUGGUGAAGUCACAGCGGGUCAGGAUAAUAAUGUGGACAGAGGGAAAGAAAAGGAUAGAAAGCUGCCUGCCGAGUAAGCAGGUCCUACGGCGCUUUCCUAUUUUCCUUCCUGCAGAUAAAUAUAGACGUGACCACUUUUCUAAUAGCUUGACAAAUUAUCUUUUUUUUUUGUAACAGAGUCUUGCUCUGUCACCCAGGCUGGCAGUGCAGUGCACUGCAGUGGCGUGAUCAUGACUCACUGCAACCUCGACCUCCUGGGAUCAAGCGACCCUCCCACCUUGGCCUCUCGAGUAGCUAGGACCACAGGUAUGCACCAACACACCUGGCUAAUUUUGUAUUUUUUGUAGAGAUGGGGUUUUGCCAUGUUGCCCAGGCUGGUCUUGAACUCCUGGGCUCAAGUGAUCCCCCGGCCUCGGCCUCCCAGGGUGCUAGACAAAUUAUCAUUCAUUACGGGGCUGCAGCAUUUGGUGAUUGGCAUUAGGGUGGAGGUGGAGGUGAUAAGGGGCUGUGGUUUAAGGUGAUAAGACUAGAUGGCUUGAAUCAUAUGGAAAAUAUAUUCUUUCAAACUAUUAAUACAUUGGCUUACUCUGAAAGAAAAAAAUUCAACGUGGCAAUUCUGUUAUCAUAUCAUUCAGCUGUAAGAAUCAAGUGGCGCUUGCUUUAAUUAUUUCAUAUUGAUCCUAGUACAUUUACCCUUCAUUUAUCUUACUAACUGGGUAUUUAAGUGAAGCCUCAUGUUGGGACCGAUUUCUUGGGUGCAUAAUAUCUGUGAGCUUUUUUUCUGAACUUGGCAGUGUUUGAGAGGCCAGUGUAAGCCAGUAAUUUUAACCUUUUUCACGGUCAUGUUGCCAGGUGCCUAAGGAACAUUUUUUUCCCCACUCAGUUAUAACUUCUCUUCAUGAUAUGUUUUCUGGUGAUGACAGAGACACUGCUGUACAGGGCCCUAGCUGUAAACAUGGAUGUGAGUAAAUCCUAUGGGGAUGUUACCAACAAAAUGGCACUGACAUGUGCAUUCAUGGCAUGGCCCUUCUGCAUGGUUUUUUUUUUAGGCAUAAAGUCUCACUAUGUUGCCCAGGCUGGAGUACAGUGGCUAUUCACUGAUGUGAUCAUUGUGCACUACAGUCUUGAACUUUUGGGUUUAAGCCAGCUUCCUGCCUCAGCCUCGCGAGUAGCUGGGGCUAUAGCCACACACCACUGCACCUGGCUCUUUGCAUGAUAUUUCUGGUGGAUUAGUAAAAAUGGUAGGACAUGUUUUACAGCAGGCUUGAGAUAUAGUGCUUGACGUAUAAUAUUUAGAAGAAAUUGUUCAGGUAAAAAUAGUUUAGCUCCUACCAGAUGAAUUACAUACUCUUUCACUUGAUGGUAGGUACUUUAAUUGUGAUCUUGACUCAUAAGUAAGUAGCAAUUAUACUGACAUACAUGGUUUCUAAAAAAGUACAUUUUUUAUUUUUUAGAGUCAGAAGCAACACUAUCAUGCCAUGCUUCUGAAAGAUGGGCAUUGGGCUGUUUUAAAGUUUUUAUUGAACCUCCAGGUUGGCUCCUUCAUAGGUGCCAGCUGUAACUGGGGUUGGUUGACUUGUUUGUAAUAACUGCACAAAAAGGAUAACUUUUUAAAUGAGAUGGUAAUAUCGGAAUGUUGAAUUCUGCAUUUACAACUGCGCUGGAAGACUAAACUAAUUUUAGUUAUUUCUUGGAAGGUGUUUAUUUUGUUCUUUUUAUUUUUUAUGUUUUUGAGACGGAGUUUUGCUCUUGUUGCCCAGGCUGGAGUGCAAUGGUGUGAUCUCGGCUCACCGCAACCUCCACCUCCCGGUUCCAACUGAUUCUCCUGCCUCAGUCUCCCAAGUAGCUGGGAUUAUGGGCAUGUGCCACCAAGCCCAGCUAAUUUUGGAUUUUUAGUAGAGACAGGGUUUCUCUAUGUUGGUCAGGCUGGUCUCAAACUCCCGACCUCAGAUGAGCCACCCGCCUCUGCCUCCCAAAGUGCUGGGAUUACAGACGUGAGCCACCGUGCCUGGCCUGUUCUGUUCUUUAUGAUUCCAAUAAAACUAUGACCCCCCCCCACCUCCUUUUUUUGAGACAGGGUCUUGCUGUGUUGCCCAGGCUGGAAUGCAGUGGUGAGAUCUCAGCUCACUGCAACCUCUGCCUCCCAGUCUCUAAUGAUCCUCCCACCUCAGCCUCCCAAGUAAGCUAGGGUUACAGGUGUACGCCACCAUGCUUGGCUAAUUUUUUACUUUUUUGUAGAAACAGCUUCUCCCUAUAUUGCCUAAGCUGUUUUUGAACACCUGGGCUCAAGCAGUCCUCCUGCCACGGCCUCCCAAAGUGCUGGGAUUACAGGCAUGAGUCACCAUUCCCAGCUGAGCCAUGAAGCUUUAAGAAAGUUACCAUGUAUCAUAAAUUCUUUUGAUGUGCCACACAGCUGCAAACUACUGGGCACCCAGGGUUUAAGCAAGAGCCUGAGUAGUUGCCUAUGACAUACUCACCUGCUUUGAAUGUCUUGAAUUAUUACUUUCUGUGAACUAUUACGGUGCUAUUUUUUUUUAUGGUCAGAGAACAGAGGAUGAGUAAUUUUACUAAUGAAUAAUUUUUUUAAAUAAGCGAAGUAUUGCAGGUAGAUCUUUUGUUGGGAGAAGAGAUUGCACACACAUGUACAUACUUGCACAACUCUGCUGGAAUGAAAAGCAGCACAUUUUGUCAUGACUUUGCCCCUUUGCCCCCUACCUUGAUUCCCUAUAGCUUUGCUCUGUGCAGGGAAGUCUUGCUAGAAUCGACAAGGAAGCUACCUUUGUAUGGUACCACUGGUCUUUUGCAGUCAUAGGUUAUAUCAUGGCCCAGAAAGAACUGGAAGCUUUUAAUUCCAUUAAAGGGAGGCUCACAUUCUUUGGACUCUUCUAGUCCCUGAACCUAACUCAGCACCAGAAGCUUACAUUCCUACCAGGGGAGGAACAAAGCAAGCAGAGGCUGCCCAGAACAGGCACAGAGCACUUUCCUCAUCUUAUUCAAUUAUUUUGCUUGUUGUCUCUCUACCCAUAAUAGAUCGUAAGCUCAUGAGAACAGGAGGUUUUGCCUAUUUUGUCCAUUGCUCUAUUACCUGCACUGAGAAUAUCCCCUGGCAGAUAGUAAGCCCUCAAUACACACGUGUUAAAUUGAAUGAAAGCCCAUUAUUUACCCAGUAUCCCCCAAAGAGUUUCCUUUACACAAGCUAUCACAGUACUUAACGGUGGUCCCUGGGGCCUAUCACACGGGAGUUCUCUGAGUGUGAUGUUUUUUAGAUAAAACCUUCCAAGCGAAGUUGUUAUAAAAUAUAAUUUAUAAACAUUCCUUUAAAACUCACAUGUUCUCAUUAUAAGCAGCUGGCUUAAAAUAAUCACAGAUCUUCAUUAGAGAAAUGCAAAUCAAAACCACAAUGAGAUACCAUCUCACACCAGUCAGAAUGGCUAUUACUAAAAAGUCAAUAAAUAACAGAUGCCAGCGAGGUUGUGGAGAAAAAGGAACGCUUAUACACUGUUGGUGUGAAUUAGUUCAAACAUUGUGGAAGACAGUGUGGUGAUUCCUCAAAGACCUAAAGACAAAUAUACCAUUUGACUCAGCAAUCUCAUUACUGGGUAUAUACCCAAAGGAAUAUAAAUCAUUCUAUUAUAAAGACAUAUGCAUAUGUACGUUCAUUGCAAUACUACUCACAAUGCAAAGACAUGGAAUCAACCUAAAUGCCCAUCAAUGAUAGACUAGAUAAAGAAAAUGUGGUACAUAUACACUAUGGAAUACUGUGCAGCCAUAAAGAGAAUGAGAGCUUUUUUGCCUGCUGCCAUGUAAAACAUCUCUUUGGUCUUCAUCUUCUGCCAUGAUUGUGAGGCCUCCCCAGCCAUGUGAAACUAUGCAACAGAGAUCGGAGGCUCCCAGCAAAAACCAUAACAGUGUGUGAAUCCUGCGCCAGCAACUGAGGUGUCCAGAUUCUGUUAUCAGAACUGACUAGGAGGCUGGCAUGAUCCAUGGAGAGCAAGGAAGAGCAGUGUGGUGUGGUGGCCCACCCGAGAGCCACGUGGGUCAGGGGAGCCCCCACACCCCAGCCAAGGGAGGUGAUGAGUGAGCGUGCUACCUAGCCUGGGAAAUCGUGCUUUUUCCAUGGAACUGUGCAACCCACGGAUGGGAAGAUCCCACUCGUGAGCCCACUCCACUGGGACCUAGGGUCUCAGCCACGGAGCCAUGGAGAUUCUCAACAGCCACUCAGCUAGAAUCUGCUUAAGCCUGCCAAGUUCCCAGCUGAGGAGUGGCGAGCACCACAGCUGUCACUGCCUGCUGUCUAAGCCAUUUGAGCUCCUUGGGAGAGGGGCAGCAGCCAACACUGGGACUGCUAGCUGCCUAACACACUAAGCUCCCAGGGUGGGGGAAGGGUGGCAGCCAUCACUAUAGCUCCAGGCCAUGCUUUUCUCCCCGCUGAAGCCAGGGAGGUUGGACGGGUUGGUCCCAAGAGGUAUUCCCCACAGCCCAAUACACUGGCUGUGGCAGAUGCAGCCAUAGUGCCUCUUCAGGCCUGACCCUGAUCCAUCCCUCCUCACUGGGUGGGGCCUCCCUGCAGGAACUCCAACAACUCCAGCCAGGGGCUCAGGGACUGAACCCUGAUCUCCCUGGGUCUGAGCCCCUAGGGGAAGGGGUAGCCAUAGUCUCCACGGACUAGCUGACUUAGUCUUUCCUCCUGCUAGUUCUGAGGAACCCAGACAGCCCAGACGAGUGCAUUUCCCCCCAGCAAAGCACACCCCCUCCACCAAGGGAUAUUCAAAGUGCUAUAUUAAACGGGUCCUGUUCUCUGUGCCACCCAACUGGGUGAGACCUGAGACCUUCCAACAGGGGUUGCCAGAUACCCUAUACAGGAGCAUUCCUACUGGCAUCAGGUCAGUGCUCCUUGAGGUUAGAGAUCCCAGAGGAAGGAGGAGUCACCCAUCUUGCUGUUCUCCAGCCUCCUUGAGUGACAUCUUCAGGAGUGGGAGCAAAUUAGAUGAAUAGGGCCUGAAGUGAAGCCCCAGCAAACUGCGGCAGCCCUACAGAAGAGGGACCUGACCAUUGAAAGAAAAACAAACAGAAAGCAACAACAACAGCAUGAACAAAAAAGUCUCCACAAAAACCUCAUUCAAGGGUCAGCAGCCUCAAAGAUUGAAACUCAUGAAGACGAGAAAGAAUCAACGAAAAAACACUGAAAACCUGAAAGGCCAGAAUGGCUCUUCUCCAAAUGAUCGCAACACCUCUCCAGCAGGGGCACAGAACUGAACAGAGGAUGAGAUGGAUGAAGUGACAGAAGUAGGCUUCAGAAGAUGGGUAAUAACAAACUCUGCUGAGCUAAAGGGGCGUGUUCUAACCCAAUGCAAAGAAGAUAAGAACUUUGAUAAAAGGUUGCAGGAGCUGUUAACUAGAAUAACCAGUUUAGAGAGGAACAUAAAUGACCUGAUGGAGCUGAGAAACACAGCAUGAGAACUUUGUAACACAUACACAAGUAUCAAUAGCCGAAGCGACCAAGCAGAAGAAAGGGUAUCAGAGUUGGAAGACCAUCUUGCUGAAAUAAGGCACACAGACAAGAUUAGAGAAAAAAGAAUGAAAAGGAACAAACAAAACCUCCGAGAAAUAUGGGACUAUGUAAAAAGACUCAACCUAUGAUUGACUGGAGUACCCGAAGAAGAUGGGGAGAACGGAACCAACUUGGAAAACACACUUCAGGAUAUUAUCCAGGAGAACUUCCCCAACCUAGCAAGACAGGCCAACAUGCAAAUUCAGGAAAUACAGAAAACACCACUAAGACACUCCACGAGUAGAUCAACCCCAAGACACAUAAUCAUCAGAUUCUCCAAGGUCAAAAUGAAGGAAAAAAUGUUAAGGGCAGCCAGAGAGAAAGGACAGGUCACCUACAAAGGGAAGCCCAUCAGACCAACAGCGGAUCUCUGUGCAGAAAUCCUACAGUUUUAAGCCUACUGGGGAUAUCAGCUUUAGUUAAUACUGUGAUAGAACACACAGCUUACAGGGCUCAAGUGCAACAGAGCAGUGGCAAUGCCUAAAGUGGAGGUGAGGUCCAACUUUUAUAUAACAUUUUCCUACCCUGCAAAGCUGCACAAACAGGAAAGGAAGGGGUUUCAGGUUUAAAAGCCACGCAGAAAAGAAAUAACAUAGCAGACCUGAGGCUGCUGCUUUAGGAAACACUUGCUUACCAGGCUGGCCCUUGGCUGGUGUCUAGGAACAUAGCACUUUAACCCACUCUCUAGCUGAUAAGAAUGAUUCAUUGUAUCUAGACUGCGCAAGCAACUUGGUUUAUGCUGAAUACCCGCUUUUCUUCUUUGAGUUUGGAAUUCUGAUUAUUUCUAGGGAGAGGGUGCCUACAUAACCAACCAUGUAAAAUCUUUGAAUGCUGAGUCUCUUUCUAGGGCAGAAACAUUGCACACACAUUACUGAAUUUUUCGCUGCUGACAAAAGGAGCCUGCUUCAUGAGUCUCCUCAGGGGAGGGAGAGAGCAUUAAAAGCCUGUGCUUGGAUUUUUCCAGACUUUGCAUGUGUGUUUUUCUGUUGCUUAUCGUGUCAUGUAUCCUUGCACUGUAGUAAACCCUAGCCACGGGGCUACUAAAUGCUGGGUCCUUCUCAUGAAUCACCAAAUGUGUGCAUGGCCUCAGGCAUCCCUGAAACAUAUGCAAUAGCCAGCACUAGGGCUCUUUAAAGAUGGCAAAAAUGUUUCUGCUGACUGAGGCAGUUUGACUCGGGGCCAUGGAUGUGUGCCAAGGAUGCAGAAGUACAGGG